UUUAUGUUCACUCAGUCGUCUUUUCCAUGGCAUGAUCUUCUCAUUUUGAACUAUUCUCAUCUUUAUUUGCAAGUUUCAUGACAGGCUCUGUUUCUAAUGUGCUAACUCAGUAAUUUUGUUGUAUGUUUUCUGUAAUGACAUUAAAAGUUAAUUCAAUCACCAUGUCGAUAAUUUUUGUAUUUCUGAGUGACGUAAAAGAUAUCAAAAUGUAAGUUGAAAGGGGAACAACUACUUCAUGGUCUCAGAGCAAGUGACGUCACCGAUUGAAACGCUAUUAGCACGCACCCCACUAACUAGCUAGCCAUUUCACAUCUGUUACACCAGCCUAAUCUCGGGAGUUGAUAGGCUUGAAGUCAUAAACAGCUCAAUGCUUGAAGCACAGCGAAGAGCUGCUGGCAAACGCACAAAAGUGCUGUUUGAAUGAAUGCUUACCAGCCUGCUGCCGCCUACCACCGCUCAGUCAGACUGCUCGAUCAAAUAACAAAUCAUAGACUUAAUUAUAACACAACACACAAUAAUACGAGCCUUAGGUCAUUAAUAUGGUCAAAUCCGGAAACUAUCAUUUCGAAAUCAAAACGUUUAUUCUUUCAGUGAAAUACGGAACCGUUCCGUAUUUUAUCUAACGGGUGGCAUCCAUAAGUCUAAAUAUUCCUGUUACAUUGCACAACCUUCAAUGUUAUGUCAUAAUUACGUAAGAUUCUGGCAAAUUAGUUCACAACGAGCCAGGCGGCCCAACCUGUUGCAUAUACCCUGACUCUGCGUACAAUGAACGGAAGAGUGACACAAUUUCACAUGGUUAAUAUUGCCUGCUAACCUGGAUUUCUUUUAGCUAAAUAUGCAGGUUUAAAAAUAUAUACUUCUGUGUAUUGAUUUUAAGAAAGGCAUUGAUGUUUAUGGUUAGGUACAAGUUGGAGCAACGACAGUCCUUUUUCGCGAAUGCGCACCGCAUCGAUUAUAUGCAAUGCAGGACAGGCUAGAUAAACUAGUAAUAUCAUCAACCAUGUGUAGUUAACUAGUGAUUAUGAUUGAUUGAUUGUUUUUUAUAAGAUACGUUUAAUGCUAGCUAGCAACUUACCUUGGCUUCUUACUGCAUUCGCGUAACAGGCAGGCUCCUCGUGGAGUGCAGCAGGUGGUUUGAGCAUUGGACUAGUUAACCGUAAGGUUGCAAGAUUGAAUCCCCAAGCUGACAAGAUAAAAAUGUGUCGUUCUGCCCCUGAACAAGGCAGUUAACCCACCGUUCCUAGGCCAUCAUUGAAAAUAAGAAUGUGUUCUUAACUGACUUUCCUAGUUAAAAAAUAUUU
rnacentral:lncRNA from 1 species